UGGGUGUCUNUGAGUAUGAGAGAGGUGUGUGGAACUCCUGAGUGUAGUAGGUGAAAUUCGUAGAUAUUCGGAAGGACACCAGUGGCGAAGGCGACACACUGGCUCAUUACUGACGCUGAGGCUCGAAAGCGUGGGGAGCAAACAGGAUUAGAU
rnacentral:rRNA from 1 species